rnacentral:snRNA from 1 species
AUACUCAUGUCAACAGCACAUAUACUAAUAUUGGAAUGAUACAGAGAAGACUAACACGGUGCUGGCAUAAUGACAUGCAAAUCUGUGAUUUUGCUUUU